rnacentral:rRNA from 1 species
AUGGCUUCAGCAGCGGUGAUGGCGGCGCUGACUAAUAAAUCUUUAGAUCCUUCCCCAACGAAGCGAUUUGUUUUUGGGGUGGAUUUGGAAACCGGACUGUUCAAACAAGGAUGGUGCAGCGGCGGUGACAUCCUCGUGGUGGACCUGUGUCCUCGGGCUUCGCCGUUGCGACUGCGUUUACUCCAGCGCCGGCGUGGAGCUUGGGAGGUAGUUCAGGAGCAGAUGCAGAUUAUAGUCUGCAUCGACGACAUCUGGAAGAUGGUGGAUCUGGGUUCGUGGUUCGUGGCAGGCAGGUAUGGUUUCCUCCUUCAAUAUCUUAGUUGGGCGGGGAUGCCAGAUCUGGAGUUCGAUGACAUGUCUAGGGUGUUGCCCCGGUCUGCUUCGUUCAACGGCAAUGGCUUCGCCUUUAUUGGCGAGCCACCUUGGAGGUCCGCAAAGCUGCAUAUCAGCGAUGGAGCCGUGUCGAGCUCGGGUGUGGAGGUGAUCCGUCAUGUUCUCUUUUGGUGA